rnacentral:lncRNA from 1 species
UGUUGAACAUACAUUUCUACCAUGUCCCCAGUCCCCUCUGCAUACUUAGACAGGUUCAUUGCUUCCCUGUCAUCACUCAACAAUCUCAGAUUAUUCAUCAUGAUUUCCCUGGACCCCUUCCACCAUAGCUUAAAGUCUCCAUCGUACUUAAAUUCUUUAACGAUAUCCACUGCUUCAAAAUAAGACCAUCGAUCUGGAUCAAGCCCUACUACCACGUGAACCUCUCCGCCAACAUAUUGUAGCCCCCUAUCAAACCUUCCCAUGUGAUGCAAACGAACCUCGAACACCAUUUUUACACCUACAU